AACGAACGCUGGCGGCAUGCCUAACACAUGCAAGUCGAACGAGACCUCCGGGUCUAGUGGCGCACGGGUGCGUAACGCGUGGUAACCUGCCCUUAGGUUCGGAAUAACUCCCCGAAAGGGGUGCUAAUACCGGAUAAUGUCUUCCGACCAAAGAUUUAUCGCCUUGUGAGGGGUCCGCGUUGGAUUAGCUUGUUGGUAUGGUAAAAGCCUACCAAGGCGACGAUCCAUAGCUGGUCUGGGAGGAUGAUCAGCCACACUGGGACUGAGACACGGCCCAGACUCCUACGGGAGGCAGCAGUGGGGAAUAUUGGACAAUGGGCGAAAGCCUGAUCCAGCAAUGCCGCGUGAGUGAUGAAGGCCUUAGGGUUGUAAAGCUCUUUUACCCGGGAUGAUAAUGACAGUACCGGGAGAAUAAGCUCCGGCUAACUCCGUG
rnacentral:rRNA from 1 species